rnacentral:rRNA from 1 species
GCUAGGAUGAACGCUGGCGGCGUGCUUAACACAUGCAAGUUGUGCGUGAUCCCAAGAAGUUUCGGACGAAAGGGAGAGCAGCAGCGGACGGGUGAGUAAAGCACAAGGACUUGUCCCGAAGAGGGGGACAACUGUGGGAAACCACAGCUAAUACCCCAUAAGCCGAGAGGUGAAAGCAGUAAUGCGCUUUAGGAGAGACUUGUGUCCUAUCAGGUAGUUGGUGAGGUAACGGCUCACCAAGCCGAAGACGGGUAGCCGGACUGAGAGGUUGUACGGCCACAUUGGAACUGAGAGACGGUCCAGACUCCUACGGGAGGCAGCAGUGGGGAAUAUUGGGCAAUGGGGGCAACCCUAGACCCAGCGACGCCGCGUGAGGGAAGGACAGCCUUCGGGUUGUAAACCUCUGUUGCAGGGGAAGAAGAAAGUGACGGUACCCUGCGAGGAAGCUCCGGCAAACUACGUGCCAGCCGCCGC